GUACGGGGGGGGGCAAGCGUUGUUCGGAAUUACUGGGCGUAAAGGGCGCGUAGGCGGUUUGCUAAGUUGAAUGUGAAAACUCUGGGCUUAACCCAGAGCCUGCAUUCAAUACUGGCAGGCUAGAGUUCUGGAGGGGAUAGCGGAAUUCCUGGUGUAGCGGUGAAAUGCGUAGAUAUCAGGAGGAACACCGGUGGCGAAGGCGGCUAUCUGGACAGAGUCUGACGCUGAGGCGCGAAAGCUAGGGUAGCGAACGGG
rnacentral:rRNA from 1 species